AAAGCCCAGAUGUAUCUCUGCUUAUUGUUCCAAUUGGAGAGAGCAGUAGAAUGAACGUGAAGAAAGGCAAAUUUGUGUAUCUGAUUACAGGCAAGUAUGGGAAUUCUCUCUCACGCUUUCUCCUCUCCACCUGCACUCGGAAAGGGAGAAGAUGAAGUAGCAGGUGCCUGAGGAGAGUAGAGAUUACAAAUAUCCUGGAGAACUGGAUGGAAAGCUGCCUAAGAAACCGAGGCAUCCGCGGUAGGUGUCGGCCUGUGGCGGGCGAACAGGACCAGGAGACAACUGUUGUUCUUCAUUCGUCGGCUUCCCUUCAUUUUUACUACAAACGUCGCCUUCCACCUCUUGAACGACGCCCGCAACUACCCGGCUGGUACUUCAGGAGGCGGGGCCUCCGGGUUUCCACUAUCUCCGAGGCCUCUGGGAGUGGUAGUUUUCCGAGGGCACUUUGCGCAGGCGCUCUGUGGUCCCCGCCGCUAGUGGGGCCGCCGGGAGCCGGUUGGCGCCCAAGCUCUGCCAACUCUGGCCUGGUACUUUUCCAAGAGGACAUAGAAGAGGAGAGGAUGGCAGCUGUGCCCCUAACAGCCAGAUGGCAGUAGUCUUUACUCUUCCUCAGUGAUACAUAAAAGAAGGCACAUAGGUGAGUAAGAACAUGUUUGUCUUUUCAGAAGUCACUCAAGUUUAAGGAUGUGGCUGUGAAGUUCUCAAAGGAUGAGUGGAAGCAGCUGGUCCCUACUCAGAGGGCUCUUUACAGGGAGGUGAUGCUGGAGAAUUAUCAGGGUUUUGUUUCUUUGGGUAAGCUCGACUCUUCACUGACUGCCAUUGGGUGUGUGUGUAAAGAAUAUGGUCCCUCUUUUUUUUUUUAAGUUUUUAUUUAUUUUUGAGAGAGAGUGAGUGUACAGCAGGGGAGGGGCAGAGAGAAAGGGAGAGAGAGAGAAUCCCAAGCAGGCUCCAUACUCAAUGUGGAGCCCAACAUGGGGCUCAGUCUCUCUACUGUGAGAUCAUGAUCUGAACCAAAAUCAAGAGUCGGACGCUUAGCCAACUGAGCCACCCAGGUGCCCCUAGCCCUUCCUUUCUUGCUGGGGCAGAAUUGUACAUGUUUAGAUAGAUCCCUAGCAAGGGUAUGAGCGGUUUGUGAGUUUAUUUACCUUUUGUUGUCUGUAUUUUACUAGUGGCUGUCAGUACUGUCAAUCAAUGGGCUUCUUGAUCAGGAUAGAAUCUGAAGGAUAAGUGAAGGUUGGUCUGAGACUCAGCUUUAAGCAAAAAAUUGUGUUAUAUAAAAUGGAAAAUGGGUACCCCCUUUUCUGGGAAUUGACCUAAGGGGGGAAAAUCAGAUAAAUGUUUAUCUCUUUUUUGGUUAAAAUUGUGAAACAAUGGAAACAACACAGGUACUUGGUAGUAGGGAUUUAGGUAAAUGAAUCAUUGUAUAUCCAUAAUGGAUUACAGUAUAGUAUGGGCCUUGACCAUGAAUGAUAUUUAUUGAGGUGGAAAGAUAAUAGUGAUAUAUUGUUAAAUAAUAAAACCAGGAUACAAAAUGAUUGGAACC
rnacentral:lncRNA from 1 species